UACGUAGGGGGCAAGCGUUGUCCGGAUUUAUUGGGCGUAAAGAGCGUGUAGGCGGCCAGACAGGUCAGCUGUGAAAACUCGAGGCUCAACCUCGAGACGCCGAUGGAAACCCCCUAACUAGAGUCCGGAAGAGGAGAGUGGAAUUCCUGGUGUAGCGGUGAAAUGCGUAGAGAUCCGGAGGAACACCAGCGGCGAAGGCGGCAUCCUGGACUGGUCCUGACACUCAUGAGCGAAAGCGUGGGGAGCGAGCCGG
rnacentral:rRNA from 1 species